ACAUUAUACAAACUGAAUGUUAACUUUCAUAAAUCAGUUCUUUUUUAUUCACUUGUCUCCAAAAACAAACAUUUUGAAGUUUAAACUAAUUGUGAUGUGUUUCUUUUUUUAACACUUUUAGGGGCAGCCUGACCAAAACAAGAUGAAGUGCUGUUAGCAUGUCUGCUACACCACGCUGCCUCACUUCCUUCAACAUUUGGUGUUUCCUCGCUCUGAACUCCGAAGGAGUUUCUUCGGAUUAAAGUUUACCUGUUCCUGUUGGA